UUGCUUCAGCAGCACAUGUAUUAAAACUGGAACAAUACAGAGAAGAUUAGCAUGGACUCUGAGGGUGACGUGCAAAAUUUGUGAAGCAUUCUGUACUAAG
rnacentral:snRNA from 1 species